rnacentral:rRNA from 1 species
UGUAGGCUGUAUAGAAAGUCUUUUGUUAAAUACCUCGGCUCAACCGAGAUCCAGCAAAGGAAACUUCUAUACUUGAGGUAAGUAGAGGUACAGGGAAUUCCCGGUGGAGCGGUGAAAUGCGUAGAUAUCGGGAGGAACACCAAUAUGGCGAAGGCACUGUACUGGGCUUUACCUGACGCUCAGAGACGAAAGCUAAAGGAGUGAUUAGGAUUAGAUACCCUAGUAAUUUUAGCCGUAAACGAUGAAAACUCACUGCCGAGCGAAAUACAACGAGCGGUGGUCAAGCUAACGCGUGAAGUUUUCCGCCUGGGGAUUACGCUUGCAAAAGUGAAACUC